rnacentral:lncRNA from 1 species
CAGCAGUUUCUCCAGGAAGCUCUGUCUUAAAUUUUUUAUGAGAUUGCUCUCCUGGGAAAAGAGACAUGCAAUGCUCUAAGGAUCGUGCAAUUUCAUCAAUUGUCCAUCUGUCUUCAUGAAGCGCGUGCUCCUCCAGCGUAAACGGUCCGUGUUUGGUUCGAGUCAGUUCUUGUAUGCUGGCACAGGUUGAAAGUUCUUUGCCAAUGUCACUGACCAGACUCCUGACAUAAAAGCCGCCGCCACAUUCGACAUCCAGUGUGAACAGUGGUGGCUGGAACUGUCGGAGAGAGAGGCUGUACACUCUUACUGGCCGAGCAGGUUUUGCUUCUACUGCUUCUCCUCUCUUCAUUAGAGUUGAUAGCCUUUCUC